GGAUGCGAUCAUACCAGCACUAAAGCACCGGAUCCCAUCAGAACUCCGAAGCUAAGCGUGCUUGGGCGAGAGUAGUACUAGGAUGGGUGACCUCCUGGGAAGUCCUCGUGUUGCAUUCC
rfam:Triticum aestivum genome assembly, contig: Triticum_aestivum_CS42_TGACv1_scaffold_058476_1BS